rnacentral:rRNA from 1 species
GGUUUAUUGGAAGAGGGGUAGUCUGGUGCCAGCAGCCGCGGUAAUUCCAGCUCCAAAAGCGUAUAUUAAAGUUGUUGCAGUUAAAAAGCUCGUAGUUGAACCUUGGGCUUGGUUGGCCGGUCCAUCUUUCUGAUGCGUACUGGACCCAACCGAGCCUUUCCUUCUGGCUAGCCUUUUGGCGAACCAGGACUUUUACUUUGAAAAAAUUAGAGUGUUCAAAGCAGGCCUUUGCUCGAAUAUAUUAGCAUGGAAUAAUAGAAUAGGACGUUAUGGUUCUAUUUUGUUGGUUUCUAGGACCAUCGUAAUGAUUAAUAGGGACGGUCGGGGGUAUCAGUAUUCAGUUGUCAGAGGUGAAAUUCUUGGAUUUACUGAAGACUAACUACUGCGAAAGCAUUUACCAAGGACGUUUUCAUUAAUCAAGAACGAAAGUUAGGGGAUCGAAGAUGAUCUAGAUACGUCGAUUAACCCU